rnacentral:tRNA from 1 species
GCGGACGUGGCGGAACUUGGUAUACGCGUAUGCUUGAGGUGCAUAUGGGAGCAAUCCCGUGGAGGUUCAAGUCCUCUCGUUCGCA